CCUACGGGUGGCAGCAGUGGGGAAUAUUGCACAAUGGGGGAAACCCUGAUGCAGCGACGCCGCGUGAGUGAAGAAGUAAUUCGUUAUGUAAAGCUCUAUCAGCAGGGAAGAAAAUGACGGUACCUGAGUAAGAAGCCCCGGCUAACUACGUGCCAGCAGCCGCGGUAAUACGUAGGUGGCAAGCGUUGUCCGGAUUUACUGGGUGUAAAGGGCGUGCAGCCGGGAAGACAAGUCAGAUGUGAAAUCCCGCGGCUCAACCGCGGAACUGCAUUUGAAACUGUUUUUCUUGAGUACCGGAGAGGUCAUCGGAAUUCCUUGUGUAGCGGUGAAAUGCGUAGAUAUAAGGAAGAACACCAGUGGCGAAGGCGGAUGACUGGACGGCAACUGACGGUGAGGCGCGAAAGCGUGGGGAGCAAACAGGAUUAGAUACCCGAGUAGUC
rnacentral:rRNA from 1 species